AGUGAACGCUGGCGGCAGGCCUAACACAUGCAAGUCGAGCGGCAGCGCGGGGGCAACCCUGGCGGCGAGCGGCGGACGGGUGAGGAAUACAUCGGAAUCUACCUUCUUGUGGGGGAUAACGUAGGGAAACUUACGCUAAUACCGCAUGAGACCUGAGGGUGAAAGCAGGGGACCGCAAGGCCUUGCGCGAGAAGAUGAGC
rnacentral:rRNA from 1 species